CGCCAUCUAGAUACAAUGGUUUAUCAACUUUAUUCGACGUUCGACUGUGUUCGACUCUCGAGUUUAGACGACAAGAAGCGCCAGGAGUUUUUUCAUGUCUGCCAUUUUGCGAUCGGUAAACAUCGUAUCUUCAAUUAAUUAGAGAAUUUUCGGAAUUAACCUGCACUUAUGUACGAAAGGGACUGGAAGCUUGGGAGAUAAAAAAUAAUAUUUCUUUGCUUUUGGGAAAUAAUUUAAGAGAUUCAUAAAUUGGGCACACUAGCCGUAGUCAUGAUGGAAAUCGAUUCACUCCAAUUUUCAUCAAAAGAUGAAGAAAUACAAUAUUGGAUGGAUGUUGCUCAACAGAUGCAUCAACGGAAAGAAGAUGUAGAGCGGGAAUUAGAGGAAUUUCAAGAAAAUUCUCAGAUGCUUGAGAGAGAACUCGAGGCAUCAUUGGAACAGGCAGAAAAAACAAAUAAAGAAUUAAGACAGAGAAACUCGAGACUUGCAACAGAAAUUGAACAGUUAAGAACACGAUUAGACCAGCAAUCAGCAGAUUGUACAAUAUUUCAAACACAAGCACAAGAACUGCAAGCCCAAAAUGAUCAAUAUAUGAAAUAUAUACGAGAACUAGAACAAAAGAAUGAUGACUUAGAGAGAGCAAAUCGAGUAAAUACAGUGACAGAAGAAGAGAUAGAGGCUAAAUUUAAUCUAGCAAUUGAAAAGAAUGCUUUAUUGGAAUCUGAGCUGGAUGAAAAGGAAGGCUUGAAAGUAAUUGUACAGCGCCUUACUGACGAAAUUAGAGAUUUGAAACAAGAAAUCCAAAUUCACGAACGACAACAACCCGAUAACGACAAGUCAGCUGAUAGAGUACGAACUGUGGUUGACAGUAACAAACUACAAGUUGAUUUGGAAACGUGUACACCAUCAAUUAGUCCAUUGACAGUACAAAAUGCAGCUGGUAUAAUACACACACCGACACCUCCACCAAUGAAAAUUGGAAAUGGCGUUGUUGGUGGUGUUAUCGCAAACAACAACAACAAUAACAAUAUGAAUCCGCCAAUGGCACCAUGCACCAGAAUACUGGCAAUGAACAUGAUCGGUGACCUCAUGCGAAAAGUUGGGCUUGACAGGUGGCUCUGCAUGGACUGUAGAAGAGUGAAGUGUUCUUGUCCCGGUGGAAAAAAGACAAAGACCACUCCAACCAGAGAGCUCCCAUCAGUUCAGAUUGAAACACCUGUAGAGUGUAUACGACAACAACCAAGGCCAACUAAAUGCUGACCAAGUCUGACCUGAUAUCUCCUACACUACACUGCAAGCCUUUUCGUCUCCGUUCAACUGCAGGCCCUGGAGAACAAGCUCAACACAUGUCGCAAUGCAUCUCGAGAGGACCAGGCAAUGCGUGAUCUCUACAGGUAACGCUAAACAAUCUACUCCCAUAGGAUUGUUGUGUCGUUAUUAUUCCCUUGUUGUAUCUUACGUGUUGGGCACGUAGUGCGACGAUAUCAUGUACCUGCGACUUCCUCGUGUCAAAGACAAUUCGUUAUAAACGAUGUCGCUCCAAAAUCAAACGAUGCAUUUUGUGAUACGAAUAAAACGAGAGACUCAGCAAGGUGCAUGAUACUUAUAUCAAAUGAUUCGUACUUACAUCUUAGUUCCGCUGGUUGUGCUUCCUCUACUCAUCAUUAGUGGUCAUCGUAUUCCGUUAGGACAAAGGACAGUCUUAUUUUAAGCCUUUUCAAAACUCCCAGUACUAUUUUAGUAGCAAGUCUGUGCUCUGUUUGCGAAUUUACACUUUCUUCCAUGUCGUUCUUUAACGCAGCUGUUAAAUACACGGUGUCAUUAGUUCUCAUUAUGCAAUAUCGCAAUAGGCAAUAUUUGUUGAUUGCUCAUCGCAUGUUUCUUUCACGAAAAAUAUUACUUCUUAUUGACAGUGCGAUCAAUACUGUGCAUGUCCAGAAUAUUACGGAUAGUCUGUGCUACGCGAUACCUAAGCUAUAUGGCUUGCCAGGAAUUUAAUCAAGUACAAUUAUUUUACGUCAUUUUGACUUAAUAUAUAUUUCGCUUUCGUUAUCUUCACGUUUACUCAUUUUUAUCUUACAGUUCAUAGGUGAACUCGUGGCAAUACGUGGCAACGGGGUAAGACGUGAUAAUGUCAUUUGUCUAUAGCUUCUUCCAGAUGACGCUGACUCGUCUUACCCCUUUACUACGUCUUCCCACGACUACAUCUACUGACAUAACACUCUGGAAUUCACUACAACUUCAAGUCAUUCCUUUCAUCGAGACAUUUUUUUAAAUUUUUUGUGACAAUCGACGCUUGUAAUAUUUUUGCAAGGAUCUCUUUUCGUUGGACCAGUGGCAUAGACCUUCUGUACCAUUCUGAAUUCAUAUCGAAUGUACAAGCAUCUUACCUUAUCACAGGAUAAACGAUCUCUGAUCUAAUGAGCUAAUGUAAAUCGUGCUAGCGCGCUAAUUGUUAUAAUUUAGUUUAUUCUAUUUGGGAAAUUAUACGUAUGUAUAUAUAUAGAUGGCAAUACUCAGUACAAUAACAUUGCGAAAUUGUACAUCGAAUUCAUGAAUGGUAGUAUGUGUAUAUAUAUCAUAUAUACAGGGUGUUCCAUAUAAUGAGUCUAAUAAGAUUGUAGCCUGGCUCGGACAAAGUCCAUGUCCAUGCGCCUCUAUUUCUUGGUACUCUUAGGGUUCACUAACGGUCGAAAUUCGGUUUUAUUUGCUAGUUCUUACUUUAAUUGAAAUCUCCCAAAUAGUAGGAAUGAGCGCAGGCGUCACUUUACUCGACCUGGUCGACUCGUUACAUGGAACAUUCUGUAUACGUGUAACGUGCGCCACUCGUGCAAUUUGGCUAUGUAAAUUUUUAAAUAAUAUUUCUAGCGGUUAAUAGAGAGAAAAUCAAUAAUUCAUAAUGAUUUUUCGACGACGCAAAGUACUUGAUAUAUUUUUGUAUAUUUGUUUUGUCAUUCUGUACGUUUUUAACUUGCGUAUUGGUGUCAUCGUGAAUUACGAUGAAUUUUAAUUUUAUGUUUUGUUCUACUCUAUUUAAGUUCAACGCGACUCUCGACGUCUUAUUUGAAGUUUAAUUUUUUUUCUGUCAAUUCAUUCUGAUUUUAUCACAUACAACGAACGUGUAAAGAUUCUCGAAUGUAUUAAUGUACAUACAGGUUUAAUGUAAUUUUAUAAAAUAUUGGACCAGCGUAGAAAGACAUUUUUCUAUGUAUAUUGUUUGUCUAUUUCGAUCAGUCAUGCUCAUUUUAAUGCCUGCACUCAGUAGUAGCAAUGCGGCAAAAUCAAAAUGCGUUAAUCAAACGUUCAGAAGCAAUCACAGACUUUCUGCAAAGAGAAAUUGAUAAAAUAUAUUUUUUUUUAAUCGUUACACCAUCCUUACACUGUAUUGUUAUAGAAUAUUUGUAAUCAUAGUUCAUCCUCUCUCUACUGUGUUAGAUUGGGCCACAGACAGGAGAAAUAAAUGUCAUUUUAAAGAAAGCUAACUUUAGUCGAGACCGUCAUUAUGAGACAAGGGUUAAAAGUGAAGUAAAAAUUUUGUCAUGCAAAGAUCCAAUUCAUUUUGUAGACAAUUGGCAUUUUGGUAUAAUCCAAAUCUUGUGGCUCAAUCUGCAGUGGAUCAUUAAUUCAUUGGAAUCAUCCAUUUGUGAUUAAAUUCGUGAAAACUGUCACUUGCAUGAAUUGUCUGUUGCACUGCACCAUCCCCUAACAUAGAUAAUAAUUAAUUAUUCCACUUGAAUGAUUAUACAAUAACAGAUAUGUGUAAUGCAAACUACCUAAAAAACAAUGUAAAUUAAACUCACUUGAAGAACGUAUAAUAUCUUGUAUACGUUUUAUCAAUGUGCAUUAAAAGAAAGAAAAAUUGAAUUUGCAUUAUCCAACAGGCAAGAGCUGUGCAAUGAUUCUGUCAGUGUUUACCGCACGAGCUUCUAUCUCAUAAGCACUGUAACGAGAGAAAGAAAAAUAUAUAUAAUCAUUUACAUUUUUGUCUAUCCUGUUACAUACGUUGAAUGUGUUUGCAUUGAUUUAUUCUGUAUCUUUUGAUUAUUUAUAAAGAAAAAAAUCUAUCUUGCUUUUGCGUAUGUUCCAUUAGGACUAGACGACAGUUCCGCGCACCUGCUUCCGGAAAUAACAACCACAUUCGAUUCUAAGUGUCUCAUUGCGAAGUUGUCUAAUUAAUUAAGUGCGCCAAGCGUCUGACGAUAAAUUAGAAAACCUGCGAAAUUUAAUGAGAUCUGAUUCUUUUUUUUUACGGCGAAGUUUACUGUACUUUGUUUUGUUUGUCAGCAUCGUUUAGGCAUAUAUUUAUCUUGGACGACGUUCAAAGUUUUUUAUUGUCGCAAUUAUUCGGAAAUUCUCCUACGGCUAUAGUGAUAUAUUGUGAUAUAAAUAAUCGAACAAUGAUAUUCUUCGUAGAGAUUAACAAACGCGUCCGAAUUUCAUGUCUCCGACAUUUAAAAUAAAUUUAAAAGAAAAAACGGUUAGUACCUACUAUAUGCCACUGCAAUAUUUUGCUCUAGUUACAACACUGUAUUAGAAAUCUAAUCAGUGGCUAUAAAAUCAUAGAUAUUUUUAAUAUGACCGUAAUGCGUAGGUUUUGAUGGAGAAAGAAAAACUGUAUAUUGAUAAUUAGACGAUACUUGAUGUUAAUCGUUAAUGAAAUUGUCGGUGACAUUUGCAUGGUACAAAUUACGGUUUAUUAAAAUUACGAAAGAAAUGCAAAUUUGAAGUUUUCAAAAAUUAAAGUCAGACGCGUUUUCAAUCUAAAUGGAUGAUCCUUGGAUUUCAUUGUUCAGUGUCUAACGUCUUGUAUUUAUUUAUUCGACACGUAAACAGUGGACAUUUAACGUCAUCCGUCGUAAAGAAAUUUCUUUGCUGUUAUAUAAAGUAACCAACAAUUAUUAUGUAUAUCGAAUUUGUAAAUACCUAUAUAUUAAUUUAUUAGAUAAUUCCGUUCGAAUUUGUAAAAUAUUUAUAAUUGUCCUUUAAUGUAACCCGUGCAGCGUUUGUAGAUAUUUUUGAAAAACCAUUUCAAAUAAAAUCAUUCGUUUACCGUCAAGUAGUUGCUGAGAUUUGCCGACGUUCGUUUCUUCCAAGUCAAAGGCAAAGAAUUCGAAGCUUCUUGCAAUCAUGAAACUUAAGAGAGAUAUUACGUAAACAAGCGAGAUUGAUAAAUUCAAUAUAAAAACGGGGAAAAAACGUCUGUAUUAAUUAAUUAGUAAUGUAGCGAUAUUGAAUUAUCUAUUUAUACAAAAAGAUAUUCCGGGUAUAGAUAAGCUAGUGUUUGAUUUUUCAUUAUAAUUCAAUUCAGAUAGUAAUUCAAGUGAAAAGUCAUUUGCUAAUAUAAACUAUUACUCAUCGAUAUUAUUUUCAUUGUCCUCCUUUGCUAUGACCUAAUUCUAAAAGCGGUAAAUGACGUAAGAAAAGCGGGGAGCUAUUAUAACCUAUUUUAUUAACGAUGCUAGUAAUGAUUUCUUAUUGCAAGUAAAAUAAUUGAUCGGCUCACUAAAAAGCCGCAUGAAUGAUUCAUCAUUCACAUUUGUACCUUGAGCAAUUGUAGAAAAUUGAGUAGUAAUAAUAAUAAUAAUAACAAUUUGAAUCGCUCGUUCAUUAA